UACGUAGGCAGCAAGCGUUGUUCGGAGUUACUGGGCGUAAAGGGUGCGUAGGCGGUUGUUUAAGUUUGGUGUGAAAUCUCCCGGCUCAACUGGGAGGGUGCGCCGAAUACUGAAUGACUAGAGUGCGGGAGAGGAGAGUGGAAUUCCUGGUGUAGCGGUGAAAUGCGUAGAUAUCAGGAGGAACACCGGUGGUGUAGGCGGCUCUCUGGACCGUAACUGACGCUGAGGCACGAAAGCGUGGGUAGCAAACAGG
rnacentral:rRNA from 1 species